rnacentral:antisense_RNA from 1 species
UGACGGUAAAUACCGAGUGUCAACUUGAUUGGAUUGAAGGAUGCAAAGUAUUGAUCCUGGGUAUGUCUGUGAGGGUGUUGCCAAAGGAGGUGAACAUUUGAGUCAGUGGGCUGGGGAAGGCAGAUCCAACCUCAAUCUGGUGUGCCAUAUAAUAAGCUGCCAAUGAAUAUAAAGCAGGCAGAAAAACAUAAGAAGGUGAGACUGGCCUAGCCUCCCAGCCUACAUCUUUCUCCCAUGCUGAAUGCUUCCUGUCCUCAAACAUCAGACUCUAAGUUCUUUAGUUUUGAGACUCGGACUGGCUUCCUUGCUCCUCAAGCUUGCAGACAGCCUAUGGUGGGACCUUGUGAUCAUAGAUCCUUGAUUAAUACAGAUGGGGUCCCACUAUGUUGCUCAGGCUGCUUUCAAACAGGUUCUUAACUCUGUCACCCAGGCUGGAGGGCAGUGGUGUGACCACAGCCACUGCAGGCUCGACCUCUGGGACUCAGGUGAUCCUCCCAUCUCAUCCUCCCAAGUAGCUGGGACUACAGGUUGCCUCUUCCAGAUCCCUUUUGAUCUAUUUUCAGCUAUGGAUUCUUGAGAAUCAAGACUAAGCAGCCUGAAAUGAAGGAGUAAGAGUAUCACCUAACAGUGAUUUUGCUGCCAUAGUAGCUGUUUGUAUACUGGCCAUAUGCCUAGGUAAAAUGAGGCCAGAUCACUCUAAGAGUUUUCUAUCAGAGUUGGUGGUGAACUACUGCUCACUGAUAAUG